UACGAAGGGGGCUAGCGUUGCUCGGAAUCACUGGGCGUAAAGGGCGCGUAGGCGGAUAGUUCAGUCGGGGGUGAAAGCCCGGGGCUCAACCUCGGAACUGCCUUCGAUACUGGCUAUCUUGAGUACGGGAGAGGUGUGUGGAACUCCGAGUGUAGAGGUGAAAUUCGUAGAUAUUCGCAAGAACACCAGUGGCGAAGGCGGCUCACUGGCCCGAUACUGACGCUGAGGCACGAAAGCGUGGGGAGCAAACAGG
rnacentral:rRNA from 1 species